UACGUAGGGUGCAAGCGUUGUCCGGAAUUAUUGGGCGUAAAGAGCUCGUAGGCGGUCCGUCACGUCGGAUGUGAAAUUCCAGGGCUCAACCCUGGACCUGCAUUCGAUACGGGCGGACUAGAGUUCGGUAGGGGAGACUGGAAUUCCUGGUGUAGCGGUGAAAUGCGCAGAUAUCAGGAGGAACACCGGUGGCGAAGGCGGGUCUCUGGGCCGAUACUGACGCUGAGGAGCGAAAGCGUGGGGAGCGAACAGG
rnacentral:rRNA from 1 species